GACGAACGCUGGCGGCGUGCUUAACACAUGCAAGUCGAACGAAGUGGCGAACGGGUGAGUAACGCGUAAUCAACCUGCCCUUCAGAGGGGGACAACAGUUGGAAACGACUGCUAAUACCGCAUACUGAAGGCGAGGAUUGCGUCUGAUUGGCUAGUUGGAGGGGUAACGGCCCACCAAGGCCAUGAUCAGUAGCCGGUUGUGGAGGAUGAAGGGCUACAUUGGGACUGAGAAACUGCCCAGACUCCUACGGGAGGCAGCAGUGGGGAAUCUUCCGCAAUGGAGGAAAGUCUGACGGAGCAAAGGCGCGGGAGGGAUGACGGCCUGCGGGUUGUAAAGCUCUGUUAAUCGGGACGCGUUACCGGAAUAGAAAGCAACGGCUAACUACGUGCCAGCAGCCGCGGUAAUUC
rnacentral:rRNA from 1 species